UACGGAGGGUGCAAGCGUUAUCCGGAUUUACUGGGUUUAAAGGGUGUGUAGGCGGAUCUUUAAGUCAGUGGUGAAAUCUCCGAGCUUAACUUGGAAACUGCCAUUGAUACUAUUGAUCUUGAAUUCUGUUGAGGUGGGCGGAAUAAGUCAUGUAGCGGUGAAAUGCAUAGAUAUGACUUAGAACACCAAUUGCGAAGGCAGCUCGCUAAGCAGAUAUUGACGCUGAGGCACGAAAGCGUGGGGAUCAAACAGG
rnacentral:rRNA from 1 species